ensembl:lncRNA
UAGUGCCACCUCCCCUGGGGGCCUCCAGUCGACGCCCGGCUCCCUCGUCCCCACCUCCGACCGACUGCUUGCUCCAGCCUUACCCCUCCACCACCACCACCACCACCACCACCAAGACCCCCCUCUGAUACCCAAACCGGAACCCCAAAGCAGGCACCAACGGAGGGGGGGGAGUCCGACAUUCCUCUCCCGACUCCCCCUCCGUGCCACCGCUCCGCAGACCCUCUGACUCGGCGGCGCUCUUUCCACUGUCACUGUAUUGUUGUGUACCGUAGCGUACGUCGCGUGGAAAGGUUCAGCUGCCGGUCGUACUUUUUUCCGACAUCAAACCUUUUUUUUUUUAAGUCCCGCCCAGACUGACACCUCAUCCCCCCCCAACCCCUCCAGUCGCCCACAUCAACCCGCGCGCCCACCCUCCCCUACAGGCUUUCUGCGGGGGGGAUCGGGGGGGGACCUAGAAGGGUGCCAGGGGGUGCCCCCCACACAGAUGCCGAACGUCUCCCGGAACUCUGUGGGGGCGGCGGCGACGACACGGGGGGCAGCGGCAUCUUUCCCCCCCUGUGUGUCUUGACGGGCGGUGCGGUGGCAGUGGCUACGUAGAGAUAAGUGCAUUGUUUUUUCUUAUUCAAACAUCCCAAGACGAGACGGAAGUAGACAAAGACAAAGAAGAAGAAGAAGAAGAAGAAGGCAAAAUUAAAAAAAAAAGGACCUUUUCUAUGGCUCAGAGAUUCUUGCUAUUUCCAGCGUUGCUUUUUUGUACAUUGUGUUACCUUUUAGAGACGCUGAAAAGCAGCCCAGUGGUGUGUGUCAGAUACAGUACAAAGUCAAAGUUUCAGUUGUUUUGGGGUAGUGAAAGCCUGCCGGGUGAUUUACUGGCUGUUGGUUUAGCGGCCGUAGGGGGCGGGCGGGCGUGUCCGCCUCUAGGGCCGAAGCGUAUCGUUAGACAGGUUAGGACUGAGACUCUGUACACGGUGGUGGUGGUGUCAGUACUAAUAAAUGUGAUGUAUAUUUUUAA